UUUUUUUUUUUUUUUUUUUUUUUUUUNUUUUUAGGGCUGCACCUGCAGCAUACAGAGGUUACCAGGCUAGGGGUCUAAUCGGAGCUGUAGCCACUGGCAUACGCCAGAGCCAUAGCAACUCUGGAUCAGAGCCGCAUCUGUGACCUACACCACAGCUCAUGGCAAUGCCAGAUCCUUAACCCACUGAGUGAGGCCAGGGGUCAAACCCGCAACCUCAUGGUUUCUAGUCGGAUUUGUUUCUGCUGCCCCACGACGGGAACUCCUCAAUUCAUCUUUAUGCCUUCUUCUCUCCAUAAGUAUUUCUGAGCACACGCUACAUGUAUGCAUCUGUGACAGGGGGCCACGGGCGCAUAAGGCAGUUUCCACCCAGCGCAACUUUGGGUUCAGCCGCUAACAGGCCACCAGCAAGCCCCCCGUGGCUCUGCAGCAGGUUAAGUCUUUGGGAAGGGAGGGGCCCAAGAAAAGGGCUCAGGUAAGACUGAGGUUAGGGAGCCCUGGGGAAAGAAUGGGGUUCGUGGGAGCUACUCAGGGCAGGGACUAUGACUCAAGACAGACCCAAGGUCACCUUGGACCCCCUCAGGCCAACAGCCCCUGGGCUUGCCUUUCAUCAUGUGGGCCCCGCAUCAGAAGGCAGAGCCACCUCAGGGGGCUUCAACCCCCACAUGGGAGGAAAGAACACGCUCCACUCCCCCAAGCUAAUUGCACACAUGGAGAUCUGAGGACAUUUAGUGGCUCCAAGCUCAGUGCCCAGGGAGGGAAGCAGGAUCACAGGGCACAGGGGAUGAAACAGGACCACUGGGCCCCCUCCACCCAGGCUGUGGCAGGAAGGACAAGACCCCAUGCCCCCUUCCCAUCUACCUUAAAGGGAAACAACGACAAACCCUGAGCAAGAACCCCACAGGGGGCCUUCCAGGCGUCCCCAAGCCUCUGCAGGCCUCAGUUCUCCCGCCUGUAAAAUGGGGGCAAGAAUCAGCUUCUGUGCUUGAAAUCACAUGGAUAGAUGAAAAUGCCUCUCCCAGCAGGUGCUCCAGCAACUCACAUGUACAAUGGAACCAGCUCAGGAAGGAUGGGAUCUUGGGCCUGGCCCUUGGGCACGGAGCAGGCCCUCUGGGGAAGUGAGCCCUGCCAGUCCCAUCAGGCCCUGCUUCUGCCUGCCACCGCUGGGGCUCUGCACUCGCUUCCAGCUCUGACUCCCUGGAUGACAGCCAGGGCCAGAAUUGCAAGAUUUCCUGAGGAGGAGAAAAUUAGAUUUUGUUCUGGGUCUGGCUUCCCCUCCUGCUCCUUCUGAAGAUUCUCUGGCUCUGAUGUUCCACUGAGGGGCUAAUUCAGUCUCCACUGGCUUCUCCACUGAGCAGCAGUGAUGAUCAAGGGGGAGACCAAGGGGGAACCUUCCUUCCUGACUCUGGAGGGAUCUACAGGCCAUACUCACGCAGGAGACAGGCUCCCCCAGCCUGCGGGGGCGGUGGAGGGGUAUUGGCAGGGUGCCCCUACCUGGGAUUGGAGACCAUGCUCUCGUCCCAUCUUUGCCACUGAACAGUUGUGUGACCUUGGACCAUCCCCUGUCUGUGCCUCGGUUUCCUUGUGUGAAGGUGGAUGCACUUAUUUCUGCCCUGACUGGCCCUCGCAGGAGCUCAGUAAGCGGAGGUCAGAGAAAGUAUACAGCAGGUGCUACAUCAGGAUGAGUCCCAGCUCCAAAGAGCCUGAAUUGUUUGCAGACACCCUGCUGCCUGGAUGAGAGUGACUCAUGGACCUGAAAGGCUCAGGAGCCCGGCCACAGGCUCUCCCUGCGGCCCCGCUGGAAGGAGGCCACGGUGACUCCAGAGGCCCAUGCACUGGCCCGAGGGCCUGGACCCACCGGGUCUGAAGAAGAGGAGGAAGAAGCACCAGGGCAGAAGUGUCCCCUCAAAAUCGUGGUGCCAGAGUUCCCAUCGUGGCGCAGUGGUUAACGAAUCCAACUAGGAACCAUGAGGUUGCAGAUUUGAUCCCUGGCCUUGCUCAGUGGGUUAAGGAUCUGGUGUUGCUGUGAGCUGUGGCGCAGAUUGCAGAUGCGGCUCGGAUCCUGCAUUGCUGUGGCUGUGGUGUAGGCCGGUGUCUACAGCUCCGAUUGAACCGCUAGCCUGGGAACCUCCAUAUGCCGCUGGAAGCGGCCCUAGAAAAAGGCAAAAAGACACACACACAAAAAAAUCCUGGUGCCUGGCAGACUGGGCCCAGCAUCACACUACCUGCAGAGAGGUCUCCAUAGGUAGCACCAGUUUUCAGUGAGAAUAUGGGCAAAAGAUUUGAGAAGGUACUUUACAAAAAAUGAACAAAUGGCCACCACUGAAUUCACUGUCUGUCUCUCCUUGACGUAAUAGGCAGUCUUUGCCUCUUUCAGAGAGCAAGCACUCUGUCAAAUACACGCGUCGUGAAUCGCGGCUCCCACCUGAGGCAUGUGUUCAAAUGUCUGCACUGCUGGAGAGUCUGGUGGGGAGGGCGUUUAACCAGGGGUCCCAGCGGACCCGCUGUCCUGAUCACAUCUGGCUUCGAGAACCCCACCAAGGUUCACAGUGGAAGGCAAGGCAUAGGAUUAAUCCCCUCUGAACAUGUCUGUGAACUUGUAGAAGGUUGGGCACAGGGAUCCUGACUCACCCUGCCUACACAGAAAGCCCAUGGUCUGAACAUGGAUUCUGGAGUUUUCUGCUAAUUCUGGAGUUCCAUGUUAAUUUUGCCUCACCCCUGCCCUCCCCCACCAAUGUGUGGAGGGGAGCGGAAGGAAAAGAGAUUCCUCAAGACAGCAGAAUGUCCAGGUUCUGCACCCAAUUUGCGGACUGAAGGCCUCUGGCUCUGCCACUCCUGAACCUCCUUAUGCCUCAGUUUCCUUAUCUAUAAAAUGGACACAGCACAGGGCCACAGGGUCACCGAAAGAAUUAAAUGAGACAAUGCAUGCAACGUGCUUAGCCUACCAUACAGUCAGUGCUCAUCAAUAGAUAUUAGACAAUUUUCUUUAUUAGAUGACAAGUGGCUUGAGGCCUCCUAUAGCCUCCCAGCUUUAAAUGGCCACCUGCUAUUUCCACAGGGCUCAGUUUUUCCUUCCAGGAGGCCUCCAACCAGUCUGCUUGCAUCCACCCUGCAGUUCCACACAAAGCUUUAGGAAGGCCUGGGCAGUACGGAGCAUCAAGCCCCAGCAUCCCUGUUCUGAGGCCCAACCUGCUCCCCAGGGAGAAGGGAUGCUGGCCCUCCCUGGACCUCCCAGCUGCCAGGCCAUGCUUCUCUCCCAGACAUUUUUGUCCCAUCCCUUCCCAGGCAGUGGCUCUGUCCUCAUUUGUGCUGGUUCUAUUUUGCUCAUGGCUCCAGCUACCUUCUGGCAGCAAUUUCAGCCAGGGAGUUUACCCAAAGUAAUAACCCAGCCAUCACCCCCAAGAAAGUAGCAAUGAAGUAAAUGCACAUGUGUCCUUUAGUUUUCAGAGAGCUCCUCUGGUUCCUCAAUCCCAGAACAGCAGCUGCCUGAGGACUGGGGAAUGUGCGAGAGAAUCACGCCUUGGCCUCCCUCCAGGGCGAGGGUCUGGGCUCCUCCAGCAAGAGAGCUUCUAUGUCAUCAGUAACAUUCAGUCUGUUUUUGUGGAAGGAAUGGAUGAAAUCAGCUCAGAUUCAUGCAUUUGAUUUCAAUUAAGCAAGAAUUACAGGGCAACUCCUGUUUUCCAAAAACCCUCCACCCAGAACUGAGGAGUUGUCUUUGUAAACCAUGAAUCACCCACCUCCUUGAUGGCAGGGAUGGGGCAGGGGUGUGACUUUGCAGAGCUGUCCACCUGCCUAAGGGACACAUCUCUCAAAAGUCCCACGGACUUAGAAUCCACAGGCACGAUAGAAGUUUUUUCAUUUGUCUGAUCUCCAUUCUGCUUUCCUUGGCUUAACAGAACUAUUUUCUUUUUUGUUUUUUGGGGAUUUUUUUGUUUGUUUUUUGUCUUUUUAGGGCUGCACCUGAGGCAUAUGGAGAGGCCCAAGAAAUAGCAAAAAGGCAAAAAAUAAAUAAAUGAAUAAAUAAAAAAUAGAGACAUCCAGUACCAACCUUUAUAGCCCAGUCCUGACAUCACCGGGAACCAUGCUUCCUCUGUGGACACUGGAAGACUCAAGUCUCCAAGGUCUGGUCCUCCCUGGGCAUCUAAAGAUAGAUUCCACAGAGCUCUCUGGGAGCACUGGGCAGUGUCUUCAGGAGGCAUAGCUGGCCUCUUGCUCUUCAACCCUCUCCACACCCAGCCUCUCCAAAGAGAAGCCUGCUAAUGUGGCAACGGCCAGCCAGGAUGACAUGGAGAUACCCCAUCAUUUCUUGGUCCAGAGAUACAGUAUGUCUUAAGGCAAAAAUCCCCCAGCUCCUUAAAGACCUCUGAUAUAGCAAACUACGGCCGCCGUGCACAAGUGCAUCAGGACCCAAUCCAUGGUCAUUGCCAAGACCCAGCUCAGCUUUUUGAAGGAGGCUUCGUAUAGGAAGUCAGAUCUGACCUAGUCUCUUCCACUUGGUCAAGGGGUGGCCCAUUAUCUGAAGGAGCCCCAGGGAAUCCAUGCUGAAACGUGUCACCUCUUAGUGUCAGAAUCCCAGGUGAGCUGGCUUGUUGGACCUGGUUGGAGCCCCCUGCCACAGAGCGCUGACCAGUGGCUAGUCAUCUCCUCUGCCGUCCUGCCUCACUAACUUCGGAAGCCUUUUGGGGUGACCCCUGGGUAAAUCGGUUUGACCUAAGCACUCUGAAGCCCCAGCCACAUCUGUCCCCAGUGUGAUCUUUGAAAUGCCUUGGUCAUCACUACACACAGUCACAGGCACGAGCCUUCACAGGGCAUGAGAACACAGCCAUUGGUGUGACUUGCCAACCCUUCCCAGCACAUGCCUCCUUUUAAGCAUCUUAUAACAUCAACGAAUAAGAAAAAAUGGCAUCCACGAACAGUACCAGCCAUCGGCAUACCGGAGAGGUAAGGGGUUAUUCAGAGAGGCUUGCUCCGUGACCAUGGGAGGAAAUUGGCCAAACCAGUGGAGACUCCCCCAAGUACAAUUUUAAGACCCAUUCUCUGAGGCAUCCUCAGCAAGGAGAUGGCAGAAUCCACAGAGAGACAAUGCCCCCUCUUGAGUAAGCAAGAGAGAAGAUGCAAUAGUCAUGCCAUGACAUUCAAACCUCAGCGGGGCCGAUGAGUGAACGCAAUGAUACCAACCACUGGCAUUUAUUGGGUACUUCCUCUGUGCUGGACUAGAAGCUUAGAAUUUCACAUUUAUUUUUUCAGUUACUCCUUUUAUACUUGAAGAGAUUGAGAAUCAGAGAGGUUAAGGAUCUUGCCCAAAGUCACAGAGCUAGUAAGUGGCAAACGUAGCUUGAUGCCCAGACCUGUCUGAUUUUAAAAUCCACUCAGCCCACUGCCUGUCUCUGCCAGGUCUCUGCAGCAUGCUCGCUUUAUUAGGACUGGCCCAGAAGCCGCUAAGGCCCUUCCCAUGAAGGGCUGGACCAGGACAUCCUUCAGCAAAGCCAUCUUUGGACCUGGGAGGCUCCCACCUGAUCCGUGAGUAGAACUGGGGUCUCUGGGUCCCCAGGGCUACCCUGACCUACAGAGGCUUGGGUGCCUAGACAUCAGCAAAGCACCAUCUCUUCCACGUGCCCAAAGAGAAAGCCUCCAUCCAGCUGAGGAAUCUUCUUUCCUAUUCUUGACUAAAGGUCACACUUGAGUUGACCUCAAAACCUCCUUCUGCUUCACACUCUCAAGGCCAGAGAUGGAACUGCAUCCCCAGUCCUCCCCCAAAGCCGACCAGUCAACACCCUCCUGACACAGGUCUGGGGGGUCCGAGCUUCACCCUGCCACCCAAAGUUGCAUUGGCCAGAGCCCCGCCCCCUCCCCGAAGUCAGACUGGCCCCCCAAGCUGAGAAUCCUCUUAAGAGUCAAGCCCUUGGAGUUCCCGUCGUGGCACAGUGGUUAACGACCCCGACUAGGAACCAUGAGGUUGUGGGUUCGAUCCC
rnacentral:lncRNA from 1 species